CGUAGGUGGCGAGCGUUAUCCGGAAUUAUUGGGCGUAAAGAGCGCGCAGGUGGUUGAUUAAGUCUGAUGUGAAAGCCCACGGCUUAACCGUGGAGGGUCAUUGGAAACUGGUCGACUUGAGUGCAGAAGAGGGAAGUGGAAUUCCAUGUGUAGCGGUGAAAUGCGUAGAGAUAUGGAGGAACACCAGUGGCGAAGGCGGCUUCCUGGUCUGUAACUGACGCUGAGGCUCGAAAGCGUGGGGAGCAAACAGGGAUUAGAUA
rnacentral:rRNA from 1 species